rnacentral:rRNA from 1 species
GACUGCGGAGAUCAUUAAAAAAUAAUCACAGUUUUGUGAUUUUAAUAAUCAUCCUACCCUUUGUGAAUUUGUUUUGUAAAGAAAAUUUAUGUUGUCUAUCCCUGGUGGUUUUUGGAAAAGUUGAAAAACUUUUUCGAAUCCUCAGGGACUAGGCUUUCAUAGACCUUUUUUUAAAUUAAACUUUUUGUAUUCAUUUGUCUAAAUUUAUUUUUAAUAAUUUAAAAACAACUUUUGACAAUGGAUCUCUUGGUUCUCGCAACGAUGAAGAACGCAGCAAAAUGCGAUAAGUAAUGUGAAUUGCAGAAUACGUGAAUCAUCAAAUCUUCGAACGCAUAUUGCACUUUUCUAGUUUACUAGAAAAGUAUGUCUGUUUGAGUAUCAGUAAAAUAUUCUCAUAAAAACAUUGUUUUUAUGGUUAUGAGUGUUUUACAACGAUAAACAAGUUGUUUCACUUUAAAUUGAUUUUUAAAAGCCAAUUUUUGGUUUUAUCUAAUAAAAUUGGAUAAAAUUUUCCCGUAAAAAGGAAUAAACUUUUCAGUUUUAAUAGUUAAAACUUAAUUGUGCCUAAUUUAAAAGGAAAUUUAACAAAAAUAACUUGAUCUCAAAUCAGAUAAGAGUACCCGCUGAACUUAAGCAUAUCAAUAAGCGGAGGA